rnacentral:lncRNA from 1 species
GAAACUAGGCGGCUUCACAGAUCUUGCACUGGGUCCCUGUGCCUGCCUGCCAUCGAGGAUCCAAAAUCUAAGGAUGAUGCUCGGAGUCCCACCACAGCCUGUCAGAGUUCACAUAGCGAAACCCAAAGCGCCUGCCCCUGUGACAUCAUAAAUUCAACCCACUGCUGGAGGAAUUCACGGAUACAGGAACCGUAAAUGCAGAGACGAGCUGGGAUUGCGUGUGCAGUGGGAACAGCCUCAGAAUAGCUCAUCAUCUAACAGAGCGCUGCGUCAGUGCAGAUACUGAGUGUUAAUUGUCAAGUUGGAGGUACCCAGAAGCACCUGAGAGAUGGGCUUCUGGGCAUGCCUGUGGGGGACGAUCAUAAAUGAACUGAUGCAGGAAGACCCAUCUGAACUGAGGGCAGGACCUGGUGUGGAUCCUGGACUGUAUAAAACGGAGCGAUGAAGCUAAGAGAAACAUGCCCUUCUUGCCUUCUGCUUCCUGAUUGUAGAUGGGAUGUGAUCAGCUGCAUCAGGAUCCUGCUACGGAUGCCCUUGCCUGAACCGUGAGCCAGAAUGAACCAUUUUCCCUUGA